UACAGAGGGUGCAAGCGUUGUUCGGAAUUAUUGGGCGUAAAGCGCGUGUAGGCGGCUUGGCAAGUCGGGUGUGAAAGCCCUCAGCUUAACUGAGGAAGUGCGCCCGAAACUGCUUUGCUUGAGUACCGGAGAGGAUGGUGGAAUUCCCGAAGUAGAGGUGAAAUUCGUAGAUAUCGGGAGGAACACCGGUGGCGAAGGCGACCAUCUGGACGGAUACUGACGCUGAGACGCGAAAGCGUGGUAGCAACAGG
rnacentral:rRNA from 1 species